UGAUGCAGCGAUGCCGCGUGAGGGAAGAGGCCYUUGGGUUGUAAAGCUCUUUCGURGGGGAGGAAAAUGACUGUACGCGAAUAAGGAGGUCCGGCUAACUWCGGUGCAGCAGCCGUGGUAAUACGAAGGGACCUAGCGUAGUUCGGAAUUACUAGGCUUAAAGAGUUCGUAGGUGGUUGAAAAAGUUCGURGUGAAAUCCCAGAGCUUAACUCUGGAACUGCCAUCAAAACUUUUCAGCUAGCGUAUGAUAGAGGAAAGCAGAAUUUCUAGUGUAGAGGUGAAAUUCGUAGAUAUUAGGAAGAAUACCAAUUGCGAAGGCAGCUUUCUCGAUCAUUACUGACACUUAGGAACGAAAGCAUGGGUAGCGAAGAGGAUUAGAUACCCUCGUAGUCCAUGCCGUAAACGAUGUGUGUUAGACGUUGGAAAUUUAUUUUCAGUGUCGCAGGGAAACCGAUAAACACACCGCCUGGGGAGUACGACCGCAAGGUUA
rnacentral:rRNA from 1 species